GUAGUUAUAAGGCAGGAAGUAGAAUCAUUAUUACAAGUCGAGAUAAAGCCAUGUUGGAGUCUAAAUAUGGGUAUGAAGUCAAAGAAUUGAAUAGGGAAGACUCUUUGCUUCUGUUUAGCAGACAUGCAUUUGGAGGGAAACCACCUCCAGAAGAUCUGGCAACCCUUUCUCAUGAAAUUGUUGCUGCCACAGGAGGGCUUCCCUUAGUUCUCAUGGUUAUGGGUUCACUUCUCAAAGGUAAAGAAGAUCAAAGAGUGUGGAAACAGAUGCUGGAGAAAUUGAGGAACGCGCCCAAUACAACAGUACAACAAAAGUUGAGGAUGAGUUAUGAUGCAUUAGAACAUGAGGAACAACAGAUGUUUUUAGAUAUAGCAUGUUUUUUCAUUGGAACCGACAAAAGAAUUGCCUCCUACUUGUGGGAUGAUCUCAAGUUUUUCCCAAUUUCUGGAUUGGCAAAAAUGUUUGUACGUUCGUUAAUAAAGUAUAAUGAUAACAAUGAGUUGAUAAUGCAUGAUCAAUUGAGAGAUCUAGGUAGAAGUAUCGCCUGUCCAGCAGAUAAGAAGCCUUGCAAUUGUAGCAGACUAUGGGACAAGGAAGCUAUGGCAGUUCUAGGAAGCAAGGGAAAUGAAUAUAUUGAGGCACUACGUCUGGACAAAGAUGGCUCAAGCAAGUUCAUGGAGCAAGAGAGCUUUAAAAGAUUGCCUAAACUGACGUUAGUUAAUAUGAAUCCUCUGGAUUUUGCUGGACAUCCGGAGGAAUUGCUUUGUGAAUUAAGAUGGCUAAAGUGGGAGAGCUGUCCUUACUCAUUCAAGGCAACCAGUGUUCAUUUGGAGAACUUACUCGUAUUUGAUUUAUCAGGUGGUAAUAUUCAUGAAAAUUGGGAAGGAUUGGGUUCAAUCAAGAUGGAGAGACUGAAAGUGCUCAAUCUCUCAUCAUGCUCCAAUCUGAAGACCACCCCUAAACUCUCUGCAUUUAAAAGUUUAGAGAUGCUGAUCCUGGAAUAUUGUCGAAAUCUGAAGCAAAUUGACCCUUCGAUUGGGGAUGUUAAGAACCUUGUUUCCUUGAACUUGAGGUACUGUGUGAGUCUGACGAAGUUACCUGCAGAACUGGGUCAACUAAAAGAAUUAGAAGAACUUCUCAUAGACGAGACUGAUAUUAAAAAAUCCCUUCAUGGAUAGGAUCUCUGAAGAAGCUGAAGAUGCUUAGUGCUGUUGGUUGUGGUUUGCUGAGUCAGAUUGACAGCUCAAUAAGCUGUCUGGUGAAUUUGUCAACCCUGAACUUGACCACCUGUAAAACAUUACAAGAACUUUGCUCCUUCAAGGCUCUUGGGGAAUUGCAGCGCUUGUAUUUAGUGGGCUGCUACAGGUGGAAACAGAUCCCCUCUUCAAUUGGGAAGUUAAAAAAGCUGGUUGAGCUGGACUUGUCGUAUACAAGAAUUAAGGAAUUGCCCGAAUCCAUUGAGAAAUUGAAGAACUUGAAAAUUCUGAGGAUUCCUCAUAGUGAGAUGGAAAAGUUACCGAGCACUAUUGGAAAAUUGGAAAGCCUCCAAGAGUUAGAUGCCUCAGGCUGCCAUAAACUGGAAGGACAAAUUCUUGGUGAUAUAGGCGGAUUGUCUUCUUUACAGACUAUAUGUUUAGGUAAAGCAAAAAUUUCUCACUUGCCAGAAAACUUCCGUGAGCUUUCUAGUCUCAACUACCUUGAUUUACUUUACUGUAGUGAGCUUAAGUCACUGCCAGACCCUCCUUCUGGCUUAUCAUCCCUGCAGCUCACCUGUCAGAGCAACACGCUUCCAUCGCUUUCUCACCUAAGUCAUCUAAAGAAGGUCACCCUUCACUGUUGCAUGUUUCUUGAAAGUAUCCCAGAGCUUCCCUCUAACAUACGCAAUCUUCGUGUUUGGAAAUGUCCUAAGUUGAAAAUGUUGCCAAAUCUUUCGAAUUUGAGAUCCUUGAUGGAAUUAGAGCUUCUGCAAUGCUAUGGGCUCAUAGAAUUCAAUGGCCUAGAAGCUUUAGAAUCCCUAACAAAGUUGGACUUAUCUACUAGCAGAGAGUUGCCCAACCUCAACGACUUUGAAGAUUUGGAUUUGUGGACAAACUUAGACCUGCGAAGCUAUGAUGGAGAGGCAGAUAAUCUCUAUGAGUUACAAGGCACUAGCCACUUAAAAUCCCUGGAAGUGUUGAAUAUCUCUGCACGCAAGCACAUUCGACGACUGGACCUUUCAAAAUCGGGGCAUUUGAAGCGAUUGAUUGUUAAUAAUUGUGAAAGGUUAGUUGAAAUUCGCUGCCAUGAUAAGAUAGAAUCCCUGGAACACUUUGAUAGAAAUGGAUGUGAUUCACUCACAAUAUUACCAGACUUUUUAGCAUACGACAGGUCAUGAUUCUAGGGGAAAAAACAGCAAGAAGCUAACAGAGGUUCAUGGAUAAAGUCAGAUUUAAAAUUUGGUAGUAAUAGAUACAAUAAAAUGUGAGCGGCCCCAAAAAGAAUUGAGUUGAAACACUGCACUGCAUGACGGAAUUAUGAAGAAGAUUCAAAUUAUGGCAGCAUGGCGAAGAUCUCAUUCUGGAGAUCGCUGAAGUCUCCCACUGAACAUAAACAUAGUAAGUAAAUUGUUGUUUUUCUGUUGAGAUCACCUGCUUUCAUUAGUACUUUCAGUUUGAAUGGGGCUUUUCCUGGACAUGCUAUUAUUUUCCGUCUCAAUUCCCAGAACUAGGAGAAGUUAUUCGAGCAAGUAAAUGCAAUGCUUCACUGUUAUCUAGUUCAUGAUCGUGAUAUGAAUAAAAAGGUCAGAAUGCCUCCAAAAGUAAAUUACAUUUCUUCUGCCAAAUGGUAGGACAUUCUUCAUCCUCGAAAUGGUAUCAAUCUGCGCUUCUGUAAAUACAGUAAUACUUAUCUGCAAGUUCUAUUAAAAUUGGUUUUAUUGCGUUAUGGGUUUGUCCCUUUAUGCAAAAGAAUGCAGCAAGAAAGUUCACUAUCUGAUGGAUUCUGGAAACUGGUUAUGCAUAAGUGAUUAUUGGUUGCAUUUUAGUAAUUCGUUAUUUCGUCAUAGAAGUAGGCAGUGAAGGUACCCAGCAACGAGUUUUACAUUUUCUCAAAGCCAGGACAUUAAUGUCAAGAUGAUGAAUCUCCAUGGAUCUAUAUCAAACUUUGUUCAUCACUUAAUAUGCCAAUAUGAAGAUUGCUCUCUCUGAAGACAAGAUGGAUGGAUUUCAUCAUGCUAAAAGGAUUAUUAUCAAAGGUAGAAAACCCAGUAGAAAUCAUGUAGUCACUCUUUCCUUGUUUAUUCAUGCCUUUAUUAAUCAUCUUGCAAAUUCUUACCUUUAUAUCAUUUGCAAUUUCUUCCUUCAGUUUGGUCAUCGUUUGGGUGUGACAAUGUCUAUGCCUCAGAAGCUUUAAAUGAGCAGAGGAUGUUCACUGCAUUGUGGCUGACAGUGUCAGAUCCAAAACAAAGGCAUGGAGAUCGUCCGUAAAUCAACUGCGUUGCUUCCAUGUCUUUUGGAUAAAGACGACAAUUAAUCCAUGGGGAGCUAGACGGAUGAUUUGCUUCAGUCCUUGAAUGUUUGAUAGUUGAUCUAGAUUGCUAAAUGCCAUCUUUUCUUGAACUACUCUUCAAAUCAGAAUGUUUUGUUGCAGCUGCCACUGAACGGAAUUGGAAAUCCACUCCUGCAAUAAUCAGUUGUGGUUUCAGCUAGAAAUGUGCACCAUUUUUGGCAAGGUUGAUGCGGGGACAAAAAAUCUUCAUAGCUUGGGUAUCACCCAGCUGUAUAUGACACUGAAAUGAAAUGGGAAGAGCUGUGCAUUUGAUUUUUACUUCUGUGUAGAGCUUAAUUGAUACUGCAUCAGAAGCAAGGACUUCCAACUACAACGUAAUCUUGACAUACGAAUAGCUCAUUGGCAAUAUUAGGAGUGCAAAUUGACUUGGAAGAUAUUAGUCAUGUUCUUUUAUUAUCAUUUUCACAAUAGCUGGAUGCAUAUCUCUGAAUCCUUAUGAGAGAAAUCAUGUUCUUUUAUUAUCAUUCAUGCAAAGAGAAUACCAGAAUGAUGGAGAACACAUAUGCCCCAUGUAGAAUUAUGAAGAAUAUUUGCAUGACAGCAGCACGACAGAGAUCUGAUUCUGAAGAUCAUCCAUAUUUCCUAGUAAUUGUAUAUAUGGCAGGGAAAUUGGUCGACUAAGUGAAUGAAAUGCUUCAGCAUCAUCUGGCUUGUGAUCCUGGUGGGAAUGAAAAUAGAUAAGAAUGCCUUCAAAGUACAUUGCAUGUCAUUAUACGUCGUCAGUCUCAAGAAAGACUCUUCAUCCUUGACAUGAUAUGAAUUAUGCAAACAGAGUAUUACCUCAAGUUCUAUUAAGGACACUGAUGCUGAGAUGAUGAAUUUCCAUGGAUCUAUAUUCAACUUUCUUUGUCAAUGAAAUGCUAAUACAUAGAUUGCUCAAUCUGAUGGUGGAUUUGUGGCCUUGAUCCUGUAAAAAAUAAUAUACUGUACGGUGGAAAAUCUGGAGCUUCGCUAUAAUUUUGGCAAUGGUGUGAUAUCCCAACCAAAUAUAUGGGAUAUGGUGCAACAGGGGCGUUCUUUAAAUUGAUUGCAAUGCGUUGAGCUUUAUGAACGGGAGCUGUCUGUCAUAGUAAUGAGAACAGGUGCUUCACUCCUGGGACGUUUGAGAGCUGAUCUGGAUCCAUGAAUGUCCAUCUUUUCUUGAACUAUUGCUUAAUCAGAUCAGAAUACUUUGUUAGAGGUGCCACUGCAGCAGAACGGAAUUGGUAGUUCCAACCUACUAAACACGAAAGGACUGUGGAAAUGACCAACUAGGUUACCACCUGGAAAUGUCUAUUAUAUCGGGUGUAACCAUAGUUAGUAACUUUUUCUUGAAGGA